rnacentral:misc_RNA from 1 species
GAUCCGUGCGUUGCUAGUACCAAUUCAAGAGAUUGGUACUAGCAACGCACUUUUUUACGCGUG